GAUGAACGCUGACAGAAUGCUUAACACAUGCAAGUCUACUUGAAGCUAACUUCGGUUAGUGGAGGGUGGCGGACGGGUGAGUAACGCGUAAAGAACUUGCCUCACAGUUUGGGACAACAUUUGGAAACGAAUGCUAAUACCGGAUAUUAUGAUACUUCUGCAUGGAAGAAUCAUGAAAGCUAUAUGCGCUGUGAGAGAGCUUUGCGUCCCAUUAGCUAGUUGGAGAGGUAACGGCUCACCAAGGCGAUGAUGGGUAGCCGGCCUGAGAGGGUGAACGGCCACAAGGGGACUGAGACACGGCCCUUACUCCUACGGGAGGCAGCAGUGGGGAAUAUUGGACAAUGGACCAAAAGUCUGAUCCAGCAAUUCUGUGUGCACGAUGAAGUUUUUCGGAAUGUAAAGUGCUUUCAGUUGGGAAGAAGCAAGUGACGGUACCAACAGAAGAAGCGACGGCUAAAUACGUGCCAGCAGCCGCGGUAAUACGUAUGUCGCAAGCGUUAUCCGGAUUUAUUGGGCGUAAAGCGCGUCUAGGUGGUUAUAUAAGUCUGAUGUGAAAAUGCGGGGCUCAACUCCGUAUUGCGUUGGAAACUGUAUGACUAGAGUACUGGAGAGGUAAGCGGAACUACAAGUGUAGAGGUGAAAUUCGUAGAUAUUUGUAGGAAUGCCGAUGGGGAAGCCAGCUUACUGGACAGAUACUGACGCUAAAGCGCGAAAGCGUGGGUAGCAAACAGG
rnacentral:rRNA from 1 species